rnacentral:rRNA from 1 species
GUGGAUUAGAUACCCUGGUAGUCCACACCGUAAACGAUGAGCACUAGGUGUCGGGGUCGCAAGACUUCGGUGCCGCAGUUAACGCAUUAAGUGCUCCGCCUGGGGAGUACGUACGCAAGUAUGAAACUCAAAGGAAUUGACGGGGACCCGCACAAGCAGCGGAGCAUGUGGUUUAAUUCGAAGCAACGCGAAGAACCUUACCAGGACUUGACAUCCCGAUGACCGGUCCUUAACCGGACCUUCUCUUCGGAGCAUCGGUGACAGGUGGUGCAUGGUCGUCGACAGCU